rnacentral:rRNA from 1 species
UACGUAGGGUGCAAGCGUUAAUCGGAAUUACUGGGCGUAAAGCGUGCGCAGGCGGUUCGGAAAGAAAGAUGUGAAAUCCCAGAGCUUAACUUUGGAACUGCAUUUUAACUACCGGGCUAGAGUGUGUCAGAGGGAGGUGGAAUUCCGCGUGUAGCAGUGAAAUGCGUAGAUAUGCGGAGGAACACCGAUGGCGAAGGCAGCCUCCUGGGAUAACACUGACGCUCAUGCACGAAAGCGUGGGGAGCAAACAGG